rnacentral:rRNA from 1 species
CAGGGAUUGCCCUAGUAACGGCGAGUGAAGCGGCAACAGCUCAAAUUUGAAAUCUGGCCCUCGUGGUCCGAGUUGUAAUUUGUAGAGGAUGCUUUUGGUGCGGUGCCUUCCGAGUUCCCUGGAACGGGACGCCAGAGAGGGUGAGAGCCCCGUACGGUUGGACACCUACCCUAUAUAUAGCUCCUUCGACGAGUCGAGUAGUUUGGGAAUGCUGCUCUAAAUGGGAGGUAAAUUUCUUCUAAAGCUAAAUACCGGCCAGAGACCGAUAGCGCACAAGUAGAGUGAUCGAAAGAUGAAAAGCACUUUGAAAAGAGGGUUAAAUAGCACGUGAAAUUGUUGAAAGGGAAGCGUUUGCGACCAGACUUUUUCCAGGCGGAUCAUCCGGUGUUCUCACCGGUGCACUUCGCCUGGUUUAGGCCAGCAUCGGUUCUCUUAGGGGGAUAAAGGCUUGGGGAACGUAGCUCCUUCGGGAGUGUUAUAGCCCCUUGCGUAAUACCCUUCGGGGGACCGAGGAUCGCGCUCUGCAAGGAUGCUGGCGUAAUGGUCGUCAACGACCCGUCUUGAAACACGGACCAAGGAGUCGAACAUUUGUGCGAGUGUUUGGGUGUUAAACCCUCACGCGUAAUGAAAGUGAACGGAGGUGAGAGCCCUUACGGGUGCAUCAUCGACCGAUCCUGAUGUCUUCGGAUGGAUUUGAGUAAGAGCAUAACUGUUCGGACCCGAAAGAUGGUGAACUAUGCGUGGAUAGGGUGAAGCCAGAGGAAACUCUGGUGGAGGCUCGCAGCGGUUCUGACGUGCAAAUCGAUCGUCAAAUCUGCGCAUGGGGGCGAAAGACUUAUCGAACCAUCUAGUAGCUGGUUACCGCCGAAGUCCCCCUCCCAGGAUAAUA